rnacentral:rRNA from 1 species
UUAUCGGAGAGUUUGAUCCUGGCUCAGGACGAACGCUGGCGGCGUGCCUAAUACAUGCAAGUCGAGCGGACAGAUGGGAGCUUGCUCCCUGAUGUUAGCGGCGGACGGGUGAGUAACACGUGGGUAACCUGCCUGUAAGACUGGGAUAACUCCGGGAAACCGGGGCUAAUACCGGAUGGUUGUUUGAACCGCAUGGUUCAAACAUAAAAGGUGGCUUCGGCUACCACUUACAGAUGGACCCGCGGCGCAUUAGCUAGUUGGUGAGGUAACGGCUCACCAAGGCAACGAUGCGUAGCCGACCUGAGAGGGUGAUCUACUACACUGGGACUGAGACACGGUACCAGACUCCUACGGGAGGCAGCAGUAGGGAAUCUUCCGCAAUGGACGAAAGUCUGACGGAGCAACGCCGCGUGAGUGAUGAAGGUUUUCGGAUCGUAAAGCUCUGUUGUUAGGGAAGAACAAGUACCGUUCGAAUAGGGCGGUACCUUGACGGUACCUAACCAGAAAGCCACGGCUAACUACGUGCCAGCAGCCGCGGUAAUACGUAGGUGGCAAGCGUUGUCCGGAAUUAUUGGGCGUAAAGGGCUCGCAGGCGGUUUCUUAAGUCUGAUGUGAAAGCCCCCGGCUCAACCGGGGAGGGUCAUUGGAAACUGGGGAACUUGAGUGCAGAAGAGGAGAGUGGAAUUCCACGUGUAGCGGUGAAAUGCGUAGAGAUGUGGAGGAACACCAGUGGCGAAGGCGACUCUCUGGUCUGUAACUGACGCUGAGGAGCGAAAGCGUGGGGAGCGAACAGGAUUAGAUACCCUGGUAGUCCACGCCGUAAACGAUGAGUGCUAAGUGUUAGGGGGUUUCCGCCCCUUAGUGCUGCAGCUAACGCAUUAAGCACUCCGCCUGGGGAGUACGGUCGCAAGACUGAAACUCAAAGGAAUUGACGGGGGACCGCACAAGCGGUGGAGCAUGUGGUUUAAUUCGAAGCAACGCGAAGAACCUUACCAGGUCUUGACAUCCUCUGACAAUCCUAGAGAUAGGACGUCCCCUUCGGGGGCAGAGUGACAGGUGGUGCAUGGUUGUCGUCAGCUCGUGUCGUGAGAUGUUGGGUUAAGUCCCGCAACGAGCGCAACCCUUGAUCUUAGUUGCCAGCAUUCAGUUGGGCACUCUAAGGUGACUGCCGGUGACAAACCGGAGGAAGGUGGGGAUGACGUCAAAUCAUCAUGCCCCUUAUGACCUGGGCUACACACGUGCUACAAUGGACAGAACAAAGGGCAGCGAAACCGCGAGGUUAAGCCAAUCCCACAAAUCUGUUCUCAGUUCGGAUCGCAGUCUGCAACUCGACUGCGUGAAGCUGGAAUCGCUAGUAAUCGCGGAUCAGCAUGCCGCGGUGAAUACGUUCCCGGCCUUGUACACACCGCCCGUCACACCACGAGAGUUUGUAACACCCGAAGUCGGUGAGGUAACCUUUUAGGAGCCAGCCGCCGAAGGUGGGACAGAUGAUUGGGGUGAAGUCGUAACAAGGUAGCCGUAUCGGAAGGUGCGGCUGGAUCACCUCCUUU